UACGUAGGUCCCGAGCGUUGUCCGGAUUUAUUGGGUGUAAAGGGAGCGUAGGCGGCCUGGCAAGCCUGAUGUGAAAUACCGGGGCCCAACCCCGGGGCUGCAUUGGGAACUGCCAGGCUGGAGUGCCGGAGAGGCAGGCGGAAUUCCUAGUGUAGCGGUGAAAUGCGUAGAUAUUAGGAGGAACACCAGUGGCGAAGGCGGCCUGCUGGACGGUGACUGACGCUGAGGCUCGAAAGCGUGGGGAGCAAACAGG
rnacentral:rRNA from 1 species